UACGGAGGAUGCAAGCGUUAUCCGGAAUGAUUGGGCGUAAAGCGUCCGCAGGUGGCAAUGUAAGUCUGCUGUUAAAGAGUCUAGCUCAACUAGAUAAAAGCAGUGGAAACUACAUAGCUAGAGUACGUUCGGGGCAGAGGGAAUUCCUGGUGUAGCGGUGAAAUGCGUAGAGAUCAGGAAGAACACCAGUGGCGAAGGCGCUCUGCUAGGCCGUAACUGACACUGAGGGACGAAAGCGUGGGGAGCGAACAGG
rnacentral:rRNA from 1 species